rnacentral:rRNA from 1 species
GACAGAGGGGGCAAGCGUUGUUCGGAAUUACUGGGCGUAAAGCGCACGUAGGCGGCGCGGUAAGUCGGGUGUGAAAUCUCGGAGCUUAACUCCGAAACUGCAUUCGAUACUGCCGUGCUUGAGGACUGGAGAGGAGACUGGAAUUUACGGUGUAGCGGUGAAAUGCGUAGAUAUCGUAAGGAAGACCAGUGGCGAAGGCGGGUCUCUGGACAGUUCCUGACGCUGAGGCACGAAGGUCAGGGGAGCAAACGGG